rnacentral:rRNA from 1 species
CCUACGGGAGGCAGCAGUGAGGAAUAUUGGUCAAUGGACGCAAGUCUGAACCAGCCAAGCCGCGUGCAGGAAGACGGCUCUAUGAGUUGUAAACUGCUUUUGUACGAGGGUAAACGCAGAUACGCGUAUCUGUCUGAAAGUACCGUACGAAUAAGGAUCGGCUAACUCCGUGCCAGCAGCCGCGGUAAUACGGAGGAUUCAAGCGUUAUCCGGAUUUAUUGGGUUUAAAGGGUGCGUAGGCGGUCGGGUAAGUUAGAGGUGAAAUGCCGAGGCUCAACUUCGGAAUUGCCGUUGAUACUGUUCGGCGAGAGAGUAGUUGCGGUAGGCGGAAUGUAUGGUGUAGCGGUGAAAUGCUUAGAGAUCAUACAGAACACCGAUUGCGAAGGCAGCUUACCAAGCUACUUCUGACGUUGAGGCACGAAAGCGUGGGGAGCAAACAGGAUUAGAUACCCGAGUAGUC